GUUGCACUAAACACUAUGGGGAACGUGAAGCUGAAUUGUGCUACAGGCCCUGCUUUCUAGAAAGUCGGGCAAGGAAGGAGAAUAUGGCUGGGACAAGUCACCAUUCACUAUUUGGAUUUCAGAGAAACAGGACUUACUUCGCGUGGCUCCUACGAGUGAAAGGAAAACCCAUCCCUUCAAAAACCCGGGAGACCGUUCUCCAGAUCUCUUGUUUACUUUCAAGUUUCUCCUGAACUCACACUGCAAUCUAUCAGAAUGUUCCUACAAGAAUAUCUAGACACCGCUUAGCACGGCUUCACAGCUCUGGUCCUAAAAUGAAGUGGGAAGGCCACACUUUUAUUAAAACACU